rnacentral:lncRNA from 1 species
GUUGUGCACUUGUGUGCCCUCACACCCCUCAUUUCUCCUCGCAGGAGAAACACAGGGAAAUGAAGGACCUCUGACGAGUGAGCUGAUGUGUGUGCAGACUCCAGAUUCCCUUCCGGAUCCAUACAAGGGAAAUGACACCUUCAUCCAUGUGAGUGUCAAGGGCAUCUUCACACUCCGGGCCCUUGCACAUGUGCAACCAGGGCAGCAGAAGACACAUUGGCGAUCAUCCCUUUCCUGGAGGAAGGACCGUAUAGCCAGUUCUUCAACAUCUACUACCAUAAAGCACACCGGAAGGGGGCGCACAAGCACAGAGUCAUGGAGGAAGAGGACCACUGAGAGCCUUUCUAUCACCGGCCACGGUUGUUUUCCUGCCUCUGAGGUGCAGUUUGGGAGAGAAGGACAGUGGCCUCAGGCUGUCCAUGUACUGAAGAGGCCUGCAGAGUCCUAAAAGCAGCAAGACUUCUUUUUACUAUUGGAAUUAAAGGCAAUUAUAUAGCAACU